CGAGCGCUGAUUGGGCAGCGCUGCCGGCCCGCGGUAUAAAGGGCCGGCGGGGCGGGUGGGGUCGGUUGUGUGUGAGGGCUGAGGGUGCGGCCUCGCUGCUGCCCGGGCUGCGGAGGGGAGAGCGCCUUGGCCGCUGGCCUGGCUCGUGGUUUCCCCUGGUGCUGGGGAGUGGAGGCGAGUUGUGCUUCCUGCUGGGAGAGAGAAGGGCCUUGGGAAGCUGCUCCAUGAGCCACAGCUGUGCCGAGCCCGGGAGUCUGUCCAGCAGGAUGUCGAGUGCCACCGUGUCCCUGAGGUUCCCCUUUCUGCUGUUGGGAGAGCACGAGGUGGAUGGAGAGGAUCCCCAGCCAUCUGCAGGCAAAAGGGACUCGCACAACUGCGAUUUUUCUCCAGGUCUCUUAAGGUGGACUUUCAGGGUACCAUGGGUAAUGUGCCAGCUCUCCUGCUGGAGUUUUUGUCUUCUGCUAUAUUUGAACAUACAGAGUAAAACUAAAGUCAGGACGUGAAUGCAAGAACCUGCCAAGAAACCAAUGGCCAAGAUGAUUGAUCAGUGCAGGACCUGAGAGAACCCCCUUCAAUGACAACCUUAGGUUUAAAAGAUGGCUGUUGCUUUUGAAGGAGAAAAUCUGGAAAGCAGGAAGGAAGAAAAGAAGCCCCCUGACUCCUCCCUGAGCCCCAGACAGCCCAUGAACUGCCUUCCUGGGAAUGGUAGGACAGGAUGGACUCUGGAUUGCUCCCUCUGGAUGUGUGGUAAGACUUUUAUACCAGCUUUUAAGAACAGCCUGUAAGCAUUUGCUGCCUUGGCUAGAUGGUGCAAGGGCAGCUUUUAAGCAGCUGAAGCAUUCCCUGAGGAGAGCUCUGGGUCUGCUAGAUGUCUCAGAACUGUUUGGAAGCAUCUUUGGUGGGGAGGGCAAACAAAGGACAAGGUGUGCAGUGACCCCCCUGAGAAGGGACUUGGAGUUAAUGGCAUCCCUGCAAGUGAACUUUGUGGGCUGUUCCCCCUGUAGGGCAGGUGAUAGUCCCAGCUACAGUGAUGGGAAAAAUGGUUAAAAGAGAGCCCAAA